rnacentral:rRNA from 1 species
GACGAACGCUGGCGGCGUGCUUAACACAUGCAAGUCGAACGGAAAGGCCCUGCUUUUGUGGGGUGCUCGAGUGGCGAACGGGUGAGUAACACGUGAGUAACCUGCCCUUGACUUUGGGAUAACUUCAGGAAACUGGGGCUAAUACCGGAUAGGAGCUCCUGCUGCAUGGUGGGGGUUGGAAAGUUUCGGCGGGUGGGGAUGGACUCGCGGCUUAUCAGCUUGUUGGUGGGGUAGUGGCUUACCAAGGCUUUGACGGGUAGCCGGCCUGAGAGGGUGACCGGCCACCUUGGGACUGCGGUACGGCCCAGACUCCUACGGGAGGCAGCAGUGGGGAAUAUUGCACAAUGGGCGGAAGCCUGAUGCAGCAACGCCGCGUGCGGGAUGACGGCCUUCGGGUUGUAAACCGCUUUCGCCUGUGACGAAGCGUGAGUGACGGUAAUGGGUAAAGAAGCACCGGCUAACUACGUG